AGCGGCAGGCUUAACACAUGCAAGUCGAGGGGCAGCACGGGUAGCAAUACCUGGUGGCGACCGGCGCAAGGGUGCGUAACGCGUGAGCAACAUGCCCUAUACAGGGGGAUAAUCCAGGGAAACUUGGUCUAAUAUCCCAUAGUAUUUAGAGGAGGCAUCUUCUAUAAAUUAAAGCUUCGGUGGUAUAGGAUUGGCUCGCGUGACAUUAGCUAGAUGGUGAGGUAACGGCUCACCAUGGCAAUGAUGUCUAGGGGUUCUGAGAGGAAGGCCCCCCACACUGGGACUGAGACACGGCCCAGACUCCUACGGGAGGCAGCAGUGAGGAAUAUUGGACAAUGGAUGGAAAUCUGAUCCAGCCAUGCCGCGUGCAGGAAGACAGCCCUAUGGGUUGUAAACUGCUUUUAUAUGGGAGCAAUAAGGUCUACGUGUAGACUGAUGAGAGUACCAUAUGAAUAAGCAUCGGCUAACUCCGUG
rnacentral:rRNA from 1 species